rnacentral:rRNA from 1 species
UACGGAGGGAGCUAGCGUUGUUCGGAAUUACUGGGCGUAAAGCGCGCGUAGGCGGCCCUGUAAGUCCGUUGUGAAAGUCAAAGGCUCAACCUUUGAAAGCCGAUGGAUACUGCAGGGCUAGAGUCCGGAAGAGGCGAGUGGAAUUCCUGGUGUAGCGGUGGAAUGCGCAGAUAUCAGGAGGAACACCAAUAGCGAAGGCAGCUCGCUGGGACGGUACUGACGCUAAGGCGCGAAAGCGUGGGGAGCGAACAGG